AAAAAAGCAAACUCUGGGUUUUCGUGUCUAACUUUGACUAUCCGUAUUAUAUGAAUUUUUUUUAUAAUUCAUAUUUUUAUUAUUGUUAGAUGAUAAAACAUGAUUAAUACUUUGUGCGUGACUUGUCUUUUAAUUUUUUUCAAAUAAGACGGACGGCCAAACGUUAGGCACGGAAAUCAGGGUUUGUCUUUUU
rnacentral:pre_miRNA from 1 species